CCCUUGGCAUAGUCAGUUUUCUCUUCUGGAUUUGAAAGCCUGUACUCAAUGUGCUCUCGGAGUUUUCUGGCUGUAUUGCAGAGUGAUCUCCCCUUAACUGUCUGUUGCUUCUUAUAAACCUUGUGGUACUGGUUCACCCUUUCAAUCUGUUGUACUGUUUUCUCGCUCCUAGGUGAAAUACUGGCGCCGACAGCUUGGAGUUUGGCAGCCGUGGACUUGUCCUGGCCAUUGUUAAGUCUGUGGAUUGUGGACACCGCCCUUCCCUCCAUAUUUCUGCUGUAGUUUACAUUCUUGGGCAAGGAGACGCUGAGUGAUCUGUUGACAGCUUCGCACUUUUGAGUGCUGGUGUUCAUCCGGAGACUGGCGACGGCUGUCUCACUCAACCUCAUGUGCAGCACUUCGGUCAAUAGUUUCCUGUCGUUGUCAUCCAUGUUGAAAGGGCAGAGUUUACUGGUGGAUAAAAACAGGGACCUCUCCCACCAGCUGCUGGUUUCCCCUCCGGAGCAAACCACACUGUUUCUGCGGCAUUUGGAACAGUUUCCACCGUAACACCUGACCGUUGCAUCCACAACCCUGGAUGCCAAUGUGACACCCUUUGAUGUGACUGUGCAGAGUAAUAACCUGCUGUGAGACAACAGCAAUGGUGCUGGGAGGUUUUUGCAUGAUAAACAUCUUGUCUUUCCAAAGCAGUUGACCUGAUGGAGAUAUCUCGAACGAAAUUCCAAAAUGUAUGUUGUUCUGGUUUUUGAAAACAAAAAUGAACUAGAGUCCAUCUGGCUGCUAACAAAACCAGGUGCUAUUGGCCCCCAUUUCGGAAAUCUACAAGUAUUAACAAGGCCGUCAAAGACAGUCUGCUGCCUGACAGAGACUUGGGCAACAUACAUCGUGCGAGUCCUGUCUGCUGCUGAUACUUACCAGGAUGGACGACGUAAACUGAGGAUAGCUGAGGAUAUAUCCGAUUUACAGACGGUCGCUGAGGAAGAUUUGGGGAGAGGAAGUAGAACACGCAAACAAAAGAGAUAUUCCUCAAGGGAGAGUGAUGACGACGAAGCCCCUCAUGCCAACGCAGCCGAAGCAAAUACGUCUCGCACCUUCACCUGCUCUGCCAGGUUUUCCAGCAGUGGAACUGGAGUCUGCAUUCGACUUACCCCUCCAAGGAGAGCCAGUUACAUGUUUGAACGUAACACCUUACCUGAACAUCAGCGGAUUAAACCACUUCAUUUGGAAGGCCGUUUUGGCCUUCAUGACAUUGAGUUAAGAUGUUGCAAUGAAUUCCUUUCAGAUAUCUUAAAUUCACUUUCAUAUGAUAUAUUAGGAAAUGAUUUUAAUGCGUGUUGGAAUAAUUUUCACGUAUCAGAAAAACUGUACCAAAAUGGCUCCUCAUAUAUGUUAGAGGAUGAUGUUUUGUCUUUAAAACAUAUACGAAUGUCGGAUGAAAAUGUCGAAUGAAAAUACUGCAAAAGGACAGCAAUUGACCGGACACAAACAAGCAUCGCGGACGACUUUCUGCCUGUGUAGUCCUUUCAAGAUCUUGCCGCAUUUGAUGUCAAACUCGUUCACCGGGCUACAAAAAACGCCUUGAUCCAUUGUCUUAGCCUCGUAGGUGGCUCGUCUGCUAAAGACAUUGUUAGAAGAACAAUAUCGCAGACGUUGAACCAUGUCGUGGCCCAUAAAAAUGAACUGGGUGGGAAAGAAAGGAUGGAAGGGGACCGGUGACGUCCCGAAGAGAGCAUUUUGUGGACUCCAUCUCUGUUAUGCUGUCAGAAAACAAGCUGUACUCGGCAACAGCGGAUCAAGUUGAAAGAGAAAUCAUGGUCUGGCUGAGAAAAACAGCUGACCGCCAGGGAGAAAGACGGCAGAGAGUGGUGAACAAAGAAGGCGCAGUGAAGAAAACCAUUCAAAAUAACAAAUUACACGACAUAAACUAGAAUGGAAUAAUAAACCACCGUCUAAUUUUAAUUCACACUUUUGGGCUUUAGUUCAUCUUUUGAUGUUAGCUAAUUGUUAAUGGUGUACUGGUCAAUCUUUAUUACUUCUGUAUUUGUUAUUUCGGGUUUUAAAAAUAAAAAAAACAUGCAUUUGCAUUAUUAAGCUUUCGGGGCAUAUUAGAAACUGUUUCAACGCUUCCUUGUUAUCUGAUUUCAAAUCAUAUUGUAAAACACAUAUACAGACUAACACAAGAUUGACCAAACUCCUUGCAUAUUUAAACCCAAUUUUAGUAUCGGUAUUAGUCAAUUACUAUAUUCACUCGAACUUAUCAGUGAUUUGUGAAGUAUAGCCAGUGAAUGUUCUUUCUGUACAUGAUCGAUUGACCUUGGUUUCCUUUCUUCCCCGUUUGCCAACAGUCGAUCCAUUCAAGCAGUUUUAAUCAUGAUAGAUAUUCUUCCGAUCAGUGGACACAUACUCAGUGUUAGAUGGUAACUGGCUUUAACAUUUUUUAGCAUCAACUGUUUUUUAAUUUUUUAAAUUCCCUCAGGAUCAGA